GUAGCUCAGUGGUAGAGCACUUGCUUUGCAUGCAUAAGGCCCUGGGUUCGAUUCCUCAGC
rnacentral:tRNA from 1 species